CUGCCCACUGAAUUUUAAAGGGCCGCGGUACCCUGACCGUGCUAAGGUAGCAUAAUCAUUAGUUUUUUAAUUGAAAGCUGGAAUGAAUGGUUGGAUGAGAAAAUAACUGUCUCUAUUUAAUUUAAAUUGAAUUUUAUUUUUAAGUUAGAAAGCUUAAAUUUUUUUAAAAGACGAGAAGACCCUAUAGAGUUUUAUAAAAAAUUAAAUUUAAUUUUUUAGAAUUAUAACCUUAUUUAUGAUUUUUUAUUUAAUUGGGGCGAUUAGAAAAUUAAUUUAACUUUUCUUAUAAAAAAUAUUAAUGAAUAAAUUUUUGAUCCAUAUAUUAUGAUUAUAAGAUUAAAUUACCUUAGGGAUAACAGCGUAAUUCUUUUUGAGAGUUCAAAUUGAAAGAAGAGUUUGCGACCUCGAUGUUGGAUUAAAAUUAAUUUUUGGUGUAGAGGCUAAAAAUAUUAGGUCUGUUCGACCUUUAAAAUUUUACAUGA
rnacentral:rRNA from 1 species